UACGGAGGGUGCGAGCGUUGUCCGGAAUCACUGGGCGUAAAGGGUGCGCAGGCGGCGGUUCGCGUGGCGAGAUGAAAUCUCCUGGCUUACCUGGGAGGGUGGUCGCCAGACGGGAUCGCUUGAGGGUCGGAGAGGGGCGUGGAAUUCCGGGUGGAGCGGUGAAAUGCGUAGAUAUCAUUUGGAACGCCAAUGGUGAAAACAGCUCGCUGGGGGUUUGCUGACGCUGAGACACGAAAGCCAGGGGAGCAAACGGG
rnacentral:rRNA from 1 species